AGUUAACCAAAUCCUUCGGAUAAGAGGUUUUUCCGGAUAAUGACUAUAGUUGACAUUGUGUGAAAAUACAUUGUAUGUCAAUGUUUAACCUCAGAGCAAUUAAUAUGCAUGCAAGUGGUCGGGGGAAAAGUACUAUUGAAGUUUCGCAGAGAUUUGGUGUGUGACAAGGUGAUGCUAAAACCAACUUCUCUUGAUAUUCUGCUUUCCGUGGGCGAAUCAUCAGUGAUGUUAUGAGACUUGCACCAGAAGGCAAAAUUGGUGCGUCUUUAAAUUAGAUUGAUUGAUUGAUUGUUGGUU
rnacentral:lncRNA from 1 species